GAGGUUAGUAAUUGGUAAUGUUACAUUAUCUUGGUUGGAAGCUUCAAUAUUUUUUGUUCAGAUUUUGAUUGCUUAUAUACUAACAACUUUCCUUGUCUAUUUUGGACCAGGGUGUUAAAAUAGUUUUCAAAGUUGGUUUGGCCUUGUUAAGAUCUUGCCAUGAUGAUCUGAUUAAAUUACCCUUUGAGAAACUCAUACAUGCCCUGCGCAACUUUCUUGCCGAAGCAAUGGAACCUGAUGUGUUACUUCCAAUGGCUUACUCAAUAAAGGGGAUUUGAUGGGUCAAUUUGAACUGGAGAAGAUGGGGAACGGUGAUGCGGUUCUGGAAACAAGGUUACGCGUACCUUGCCUGCGACAGUUACGCUCGAGAGCGGACCUGAUAACAUCAAGGAAACUUGGGGGGGAGUUGAAGCUCAAUCCUCCAUUUUCUCAUGAGAUAUCAGAACCUUGUAGAGAAGAUAGAAAGUGAAAAGAGAAGCAGAUUAGAAAUAUAUCAACCGAAAGAAGAAGAAGAAGAUUCAUAAGCGUAGAAAUGGGAAUCUUCAUGCAAACUUGUUUGAUGAGCGCUCGUUUGAUUUUUCAUCGAGCAUUGCAGUUUCAAGUGUCUGCCUUUUGUAAGCUUUCAUAAUCUUUAAAUUUUUAGUUUUUUAAUAUUACUAGAAAUAUGACAUUUAUGAUUUUUACAUCAUAU